UACGUAGGGAGCAAGCGUUGUCCGGAAUCAUUGGGCGUAAAGGGUGCGUAGGCGGCGCGGUAAGUCGGGUGUGAAAUCUCGGGGCUUAACUCCGAAACUGCAUUCGAUACUGCCGUGCUUGAGGACUGGAGAGGAGACUGGAAUUUACGGUGUAGCGGUGAAAUGCGUAGAUAUCGUAAGGAAGACCAGUGGCGAAGGCGGGUCUCUGGACAGUUCCUGACGCUGAGGCACGAAGGCCAGGGGAGCAAACGGG
rnacentral:rRNA from 1 species